rnacentral:rRNA from 1 species
UGAGGAACCUAUCCCAGUCUCUGGAAUAACAGGUGGAAACACCUGCUAAUACCGGAUGCCGUUGGACUAUCGCAUGGUGGACCAACGAAAGAUUUAUCGGAGUGGGAGGGCCUCGCGGCCUAUCAGCUUGUUGGCGGGGUAACGCCCACCAAGGCGUCGACGGGUAGCUGGUCUAAGAGGAUGAUCAGCCACACUGGGACUGAGACACGGCCCAGACCUCCGUACGGGAGCAGCAG